CAAUAGCGUAUAUUAAAGUUGUUGCGGUUAAAAAGCUCGUAGUUGGAUUUCUGCUGAGGACGACCGGUCCGCCCUCCGGGUGAGCAUCUGGUUCGGCCUUGGCAUCUUCUUGGUGAACGUUGCUGCACUUGAUUGUGUGGUGCGGUACCCAGGACUUUUACUUUGAGGAAAUUAGAGUGUUUCAAGCAGGCAUAUGCCUUGAAUACAUUAGCAUGGAAUAAUGGAAUAGGACCCUGGUUCUAUUUUGUUGGUUUUGAGAACCAGAGUAAUGAUUAAUAGGGAUAGUUGGGGGCAUUCAUAUUUCAUUGUCAGAGGUGAAAUUCUUGGAUUUAUGAAAGAUGAACUUCUGCGAAAGCAUUUGCCAAGGAUGUUUUCAUUGAUCAAGAACGAAAGUAUGGGGAUCGAAGACGAUUAGAUACCAU
rnacentral:rRNA from 1 species